AAAUAGGGAUAGAGCUGGGGAUGACAGGAGACCAAAACUUCUGGCAGUUUGCUGUGCUUGACAAGACAUCUCGAGCUAAGUAAAUAUGUGGUCAUCCUUGCAUACAG